GACCGCUCAGGUGGCUUAAGUGGUUAGAGUUUCCGCCUCGGAUCGGAUGCAGGAGGUCGCGGGUUUGAGCCCCGGCCGAGUCA